CAGCCCAGAGCCCCACGCGCAGCUCAAACUCAGGGACCGCGAGAUCGUGACCUGAGCUGAAGUCGGACGUUUAACCGACUGAGCCACCCAGGCGCCCCAGUAUUUUUUCAUUCUUAAGAGGGGGAAAGGCCAAGAUUAGGCAAAGAGUCCUAAGGGGUAACUUCAAUUCAUGUCCGUCAAAACACAACCUGAGAAAGACAAAGAAACAUGAAGGGCAAAUAUUUGAUAACAUUAUAUUAGUCUGAACGUGAGCUACGGCAACUAUAUUCCACCUGCAGUCUGGAGAGAGUUAUGCCACAUGCAAGCAAAAUCAGAGGAAAAAUAUUUUUCAAAAAUCCUCCUAAUGAGUCAAAAGAAAUGGCGUCCAUGAGCUUGAAAGG